rnacentral:piRNA from 2 species
UUUAUUGAAUUCAACUUUUUGCCAAGGAA